rnacentral:rRNA from 1 species
CCUACGAGAGGCUGCAGUGAGGAAUAUUGGUCAAUGGGCGCGAGCCUGAACCAGCCAAGUAGCGUGAAGGAUGACUGCCCUACGGGUUGUAAACUUCUUUUAUCUAGGAAUAAAGUUCCGCACGUGUCCCUCUUUGUAUGUACCUUAUGAAUAAGGCUCGGCUAACUCCGUGCCAGCAGCCGCGGUAAUACGGAGGAUCCGAGCGUUAUCCGGAUUUAUUGGGUUUAAAGGGAGCGUAGAUGGGUUGUUAAGUCAGUUGUGAAAGUUUGCGGCUCAACCGUAAAAUUGCAAUUGAUACUGGCAGUCUUGAGUACAGUUGAGGUAGGCGGAAUUCGUGGUGUAGCGGUGAAAUGCUUAGAUAUCACGAAGAACUCCGAUUGCGAAGGCAGCUUACUAAACUGCAACUGACAUUGAUGCUCGAAAGUGUGGGUAUCAAACAGGAUUAGAUACCCGGGUAGUC